rnacentral:rRNA from 1 species
ACACGUGGUAUCCUGUCUGAAUAUGGGGGGACCAUCCUCCAAGGCUAAAUACUCCUGACUGACCGAUAGUGAACCAGUACCGUGAGGGAAAGGCGAAAAAGAACCCCGGCGAGGGGAGUGAAAAAGAACCUGAAACCGUGUACGUACAAGCAGUGGGAGCACAGAGCAAUCUGUGUGACUGCGUACCUUUUGUAUAAUGGGUCAGCGACUUAUAUUCUGUAGCAAGGUUAACCGAAUAGGGGAGCCGAAGGGAAACCGAGUCUUAACCGGGCG